GAUGAACGCUGUCUACAGGCUUAACACAUGCAAGUCGAGGGGAAACGACGGGGAAGCUUGCUUCCCCGGGCGUCGACCGGCGCACGGGUGAGUAACGCGUAUCCAACCUGCCUCUGACUGAGGGAUAACCCGUCGAAAGUCGGCCUAAUACCUCAUGGCAUCGUCUGCGGGCAUCCAACGACGAUUAAAGAUUUCAUCGGUCAGGGAUGGGGAUGCGUCUGAUUAGCUUGUUGGCGGGGUAACGGCCCACCAAGGCUACGAUCAGUAGGGGUUCUGAGAGGAAGGUCCCCCACAUUGGAGCUGGGACACGGACCAGACUCCUACGGGACGCAGCAGUGAGGAAUAGUAGUCAAUGGUCGGGAGCCUGAACCAGCCAAGUAGCGUGCAGGAUGACGGCCCUGUGGGUUGUAAGCUGCUUUUAUGCGGGGAUAAAGUGAGGGACGUGUCCUUCAUUGCAGGUACCGCAUGAAUAAGGACCGGCUAAUUCCGUG
rnacentral:rRNA from 1 species